AGAGUUUGAUCAUGGCUCAGGAUGAACGCUAGCUACAGGCUUAACACAUGCAAGUCGAGGGGAAACGACAUCGAAAAGCUUGCUUUUGAUGGGCGUCGACCGGCGCACGGGUGAGUAACGCGUAUCCAACCUGCCCACCACUUGGGGAUAACCUUGCGAAAGUAAGACUAAUACCCAAUGAUAUCUCUAGAAGACAUCUGAAAGAGAUUAAAGAUUUAUCGGUGAUGGAUGGGGAUGCGUCUGAUUAGCUUGUUGGCGGGGUAACGGCCCACCAAGGCAACGAUCAGUAGGGGUUCUGAGAGGAAGGUCCCCCACAUUGGAACUGAGACACGGUCCAAACUCCUACGGGAGCAGCA
rnacentral:rRNA from 1 species